rnacentral:rRNA from 1 species
AUUGAACGCUGGCGGCAGGCCUAACACAUGCAAGUCGAACGGUAACAGGAAGAAGCUUGCUUCUUUGCUGACGAGUGGCGGACGGGUGAGUAAUGUCUGGGAAACUGCCUGAUGGAGGGGGAUAACUACUGGAAACGGUAGCUAAUACCGCAUAACGUCGCAACACCAAAGAGGGGGACCUUCGGGCCUCUUGCCAUCGGAUGUGCCCAGAUGGGAUUAGCUAGUAGGUGGGGUAACGGCGCACCUAGGCGACGAUCCCUAGCUGGUCUGAGAGGAUGACCAGCCACACUGGAACUGAGACACGGUCCAGACUCCUACGGGAGGCAGCAGUGGGGAAUAUUGCACAAUGGGCGCAAGCCUGAUGCAGCCAUGCCGCGUGUAUGAAGAAGGCCUUCGGGUUGUAAAGUACUUUCAGCGGGGAGGAAGGGAGUAAAGUUAAUACCUUUGCUCAUUGACGUUACCCGCAGAAGAAGCACCGGCUAACUCCGUG